GUCAGUGUGUUGUAGUGGUUUGAGCAUUGGACUAUGACUCUGGAGAGCAGGGUUCAAAUCCCUGCUCAGCCA
rnacentral:tRNA from 1 species